rnacentral:rRNA from 1 species
UACGAAGGCCUCAAGCGUUAUCCGGAAUUAUUGGGCGUGAAGCGUCCGCAGGUUGUUUAGUAAGCGUGUCGUCAAAUUUCAGGGCUUAACCCUGAAACUGCGAUGCGAACUGCUAAGCUAGAGUGUGGGAAAGGCAUCUGGAAUUGUCGGUGUAGUAGUAAAAUGCGUUAAUAUCUACAGGAACACCAAAAGCGAAGGCAUGAUGCUGGAACACAACUGACGCUCAGGGACGAAAGCGUGGGGAGCGAAUCGG